AACGAACGCUGGCGGCAUGCCUAACACAUGCAAGUCGAACGAGACCUUCGGGUCUAGUGGCGCACGGGUGCGUAACGCGUGGGAACCUGCCCUUAGGUUCGGAAUAACUCCCCGAAAGGGGUGCUAAUACCGGAUAAUGUCUUCGGACCAAAGAUUUAUCGCCUUUGGAUGGGCCCGCGUUGGAUUAGCUAGUUGGUAGGGUAAAAGCCUACCAAGGAGACGAUCCAUAGCUGGUCUGAGAGGAUGAUCAGCCACACUGGGACUGCGACACGGCCCAGACUCCUACGAGAAGCAGCAGUGGGGAAUAUAGGACAAUGGGGGAAAGCCUGAUCCAGCAAUGCCGGGUGAGUGAUGAAGGCCUUAGGGUUGUAAAGCUCUUUUACCCGGGGUGAUAAUGACAGUACCGGGAGAAUAAGCUCCGGCUAACUCCGUG
rnacentral:rRNA from 1 species